AGAAAGCGGUAGCGGUGGGCAUUUGCUAACGACGGUGCAACCUGCAGGGACAAUGCAAAUGAACGAAAAGGCCGCCCUUCGCCGCUGCCCACUUGACGCCCUUUUUUUUAUCUUCGAACCCGCAGCGCUUAAACGAACCGCAAUUAAACCACUGCGGAAAAUCCGCGCUCCGUGGAUGGGUAAUUGGACUGGAUAGGUGCAGUUCCAGGCUUUGAACUUUCCUCCCUUUCGCACCGCCGCAGUCAGGUACGAUGGAAAAGUCCGAUUUCGACGCCCCGACCACGUUCGAUAUUCAAGGGCUAUUCACAAUCGUCAAUUUCACCAUCGACUUCCGAGACCAAGGCGCCAAGCUCCGGGUACUCGAUCCCGAGAACACUGACCGGCUACCCGUGGCGCGACCCUACCGUGUUAAUCAACGCGACGUGGCGAACGGGCUUGCCACUCGCCUCUAUUGAUGGGAGGAAGAUGAACAUUGAACACGCUUGUCGUCCCCCGGCUGCCACGGUCCGAAUGGUCAACAACGGCUGGUUAGCUACGCUGGCAUACCGUCCGCCCUGCGGUGUACACUCCACCUGAAUUAGGUGUUGGCUCUCUGUGUUCCCAUCUGCACCACCUAGCAUCGUUUGAGCGAGCAAUUGCGUCUAUGGGCUACAUAGUCGAAUGGACAAGGUCCAUCGCGCUGGGUGAUGAUGUUGCGCAGGGAAGUCGAAAUUGAAACUGGGAUGCUGCACGCUGAUCAACGAUUACCCUGAAAACGGUACUACAGUGACUGGUAAUGAGCCUGGACCUGAUGCUGUGUCUAAUUUAUAUACUCGUUCCAAGUUUCGUCGGGAAUUCAGGUGAAUUGAAACAUACAUACAUACAUCCAAACACACAUACAUACAUACAUACAUGCAUACGUAAACUAACUGAUCAGUUGUCGUCAAAGCCAUGUUCGAGAGGGUCCGAAUCCCAGCACCGACUGAUGAUGGUCGUGCGCAGUGCAUCGCGUUGUACGGACUGAACGAGGACGUUGCCCACAUGCUGUGAUUUAAUUAAUUAGCACGAAUUAAUACCAAUUAGUAGAGAGCCUGUUCGACCGACAACAGUUCAUGUGGAGGAAAGGGGGGAGGAUGGAGUGCAGGGAUGAUCCUUGGCUCGAGAAUGCAUGCCUCUAGUCGAUGCAGUCAUUGGGCGAACAUGGUGUAGGGUGCCGACCACAACAACUCUGACACACGGAGGAGGGAUGCAUGCGUCCCAAUCAUCCGGAAACGGUGAAACGGCUAUCGGAUCUUCAACGGCUGACUUCGAACGGCAGUUUUCGGCGCUCUUCUUGGAUCAGAGAGAGUGGGGACCACCCCGACGGAAGAUGACGGUGAUCUUCGGAGCGGUUUCCUGAAAACCGCGGGCUGAUGGCAGCACCGACUUGCGUAAAAGCACAAGUAAUCAAGGUGUCGACAGUGCAGAACCUGAACCCUGAAUCCUUCGCUGGACUCGAAUUCGAAGCGAAACUUACCCUGGAGGACACGCAACCUCCUGGAGAUACGGACUGGGACGGAGACUUGAACGAGUUGUAGCAUUUCUUACUGUCGACAAAGGACUUGCUAGUGCUGUUGGUAACGUCGAUGGUGUCCUUGCUACUGUAACUGAUCGCAGCCAGGCACCGUUCCUCGUCCUCGUCAUCACAGCCACCUUCGCAGGGACCGAACCUCUUCUUCCACCACUCGGCCAGACGUCGGCCAAGACCCCGUUUCGAGGGUUUGCUGGGACACUCGGGAACACAGUACUCCGCGUUUUCAUAAAGCACCGCUACGCUGGGAGGGGCACCCUCUUCUUCGGGGGAUUUAGUCGAUGCCUUGACCUUGGGCAUCAUCUGGUAAUCACCGCCCUGCUUGAUCUUGUCGCCUUCGUCCCCAAGCCCUUGGAACGAUAAGAGGGUUUCAGUCUGUGUUUAAAC
rnacentral:lncRNA from 1 species